rnacentral:rRNA from 1 species
GAGUUUGAUCGUGGCUCAGAUUGAACGCUGGCGGCAUGCCUUACACAUGCAAGUCGAGCGGCAGCGCGGGGGCAACCCUGGCGGCGAGCGGCGAACGGGUGAGUAAUACAUCGGAACGUGUCCAGUAGUGGGGGAUAACCAGUCGAAAGAUUGGCUAAUACCGCAUACGAUCUACGGAUGAAAGCGGGGGACCGCAAGGCCUCGCGCUAUUGGAGCGGCCGAUGUCGGAUUAGCUAGUUGGCGGGGUAAAAGCCCACCAAGGCGACGAUCCGUAGCUGGUCUGAGAGGACGAUCAGCCACACUGGAACUGAGACACGGUCCAGACUCCUACGGGAGGCAGCAGUGGGGAAUUUUGGACAAUGGGGGCAACCCUGAUCCAGCCAUGCCGCGUGAGUGAAGAAGGCCUCGGUU